CAAGCGGAAAAUAAAGGGUAUGAAAGGGGUACAAGAACACAACCAUUGACUAUCAAUAGCCAAAAACUGAAUUCUCUUCGUUCGGGACGAAGAGGUCGCAGGUUCAAAUCCUGUCAGCUCGACCA
rnacentral:tRNA from 1 species